UGACGGGCGGCUCAGCCACCGUGUUCCUUAACUGCACCCUCACCUCGGACGGCAAGGGCAUCAACCUGCUGCUCUCCACCGCAAGCUCCGUCUCGACCUGUGAGUGGCAUUUGGGGGUCCCGCGUGCUCAUACUUUGUGGUCCAGCAGUGAUGACCCAGCCGUGUGCCGUGCUCGCUUGCCUAACGUGCCCUGCUCCCGACUCCCUGACAUGUGCAGCCAACACCAUCAACGUCAAGGCCAGCCAGACCAUGCUCAAGGCUGCCGGCAGCGACGCCGCCUCCAGCCCCGCCUUUGCGCGCCUCGGAUCGCCCAUCGCCGUGGCCGAUGCCCGCCUGAACGCCGCCUUCCUCACCAGCGCCAGCACCAUCGUGGCCAAGCUGGGCGCCCGCGCCGUGGCCUCGGAUGGCUUCUCCUGCAACUCGGUGUUUGCGCUGCUCAUGACCAACGGCAGUGUGCGCGCCAGCUCGCCCUUCACGGCCUGCACGCUCAGCACGGACGGCCUGACGGCGACCCUCACCACCACCACCUACGUGUCCAACGACCGCCUCAACGUGCGCUCCUCCAACACCAUCAUGACCGUGCUCGCCGCCACCGGCCCCAACUACCCCAACGUCAGCGCUGAUGCCAGCGCUGUGACCAUCAACCCCGCCAUCAGCUCGGCCAUGGCCACCUCAGCCACCACCGUCAUCGUGCCCCUGCCCAUUGCCAGCAACCUUGCCGGCGCCUGCUCGGGUGCGCUGGAGGUCAAGAGCUCGGGCGGCACGUCCAAGACCGUGGACAGCUGCACGCUGAACACGGCCAAGACGCAGCUGACCGUGACCCUCAACUCGGGCACGCCCUUUGCCCAGGGUGACACCAUCGCCAUCCUGUCCGCUAACACCGGCCUAACCGCCACUGACGCCUCUGGUGCCCCCUACCGCCCCGUCACCGGUGCCUCCGCCAUCACCAUUGCGCCCACCGUGGGCACCGCUCAGGCCAUCUCCUCCACCACCAUCACCGUCGUGCUGCCGGCCACCACCAACGCUGCCAGUACGCUGACCGCCGACGCCUGCGCCUCCGCCAUUGACGUGUCCGGCAAGUCGUUCUCCAGCUGCACCAUCAGCGGCACCACCCUGACCAUUGUGCUGGCCGGCACCUACGCCGCCAGCGACAGGAUCAAUGUCAAGGCCGACCAGAAGGUGGGCGGGGGCUAGGCUGUGGGUGGCGUACUGGCUUCUUGGGGCCGAAUGCGUUUAUCAAUGCUCGUCAUUGAGCUUCUUUGUUUAACAUGUGUGAACCCCCAACUGGCAUCUGCAGGUGCUGCGCCUGGGCACCGGCGCCUCGGCCGCCUACUACGUGCCGCUGCCCUCUUCGGCUGCCGUCAUCCCCACCAUUGCCAGCGCCAAGGCCAUCUCGCGCUCGGUGAUCAUCGCCACCCUGCCGGUGGGCAGCACCUUUGUGAGCGGCGCCAACGCCUCGGUGGCCGUGGCGGACCAGACCCUGUGCGCCGCCGCGCUGUCGGUUGUCUCCACCCUGCUCACGGACGCGGGCGCCUGCAACCUGACCUCCUCCACCAGCCUGCGCAUCACCCUGGCCGCCGCCACCUACAACCCCGGCGACGCCAUCACUGUCGCGGACGCCCAGACCGCGCUGUACGCCGGCACUGGUCUGGUGUCGGGCCAGACCUACCAGAACCGCGCGCUCAAGAUCAGCCCCGCCUACCUGCUGAGCACUGUGGUCGCCACCGCCUCGGACACCAUUGUGGUGACUCUCCCCGUGGAGAGCACCGUGUUCGACAGCACCGGCACCCAGAUCACCGCCGACCUGACCGGCGACCAGUGCGCCUCCAUUGUGGAGGUCAAGGCCGGCACCACCGCCAAGAAGUUUGCCUCCUGCGCCGUUAGCGGUGUCAGCUCCGGCCGCGGCACUGUGCUCACGGUCAAGCUCCUGGGCAACACCACGGACGUGUACGCCUCGGGCGACACCUUCAACUUCAAGGACACCAACGCCCUGCUGCUGGCCGGCACCACCAGCGCCGCCGUGGCCUACGCCGCGCUCCCCACCGCCGCCACCAUCGCGCCCACCAUUGUGUCGGCCGUGGCCCUCACCGCCGACACCAUCCGCAUCACGUUGCCCUCCGCCAGCGGCUUUAUGGUCAGCGGCGCCGCCUCCACCACCAUCGCCGCCGCCAACUGCGACUUCCUGGUGUUCAACCCCGUGCGCACCGCCAAGACCGACACCGCCUGCAACAUCACCGGCUCCACGCUUACCAUCACCCUCAACACCGCCAUCACCGGCACCACCACCGUCAACAUCGUGACGAGCCAGACCAAGCUGGUGGCCGGCACCGGCACCUCCGGCCCCGCCUUCGUGCCGGCCGGCUCCCCUAUCGCCAUCAGCCCCGGCUUCCUGACCUCACCCGCUGUGGCGCGCUCGCUGACGCAGCUGGUCGUGUCGCUGCCCUUCACCUCCAACGUGGGCGCCAGCGCCUCUUGGACCGGCACCCAGGCGCAGUGCAACAGCGUCGUUGAGGUGCUGGCCGGCGGCGUCGAGGGCAGCCUGCGCACCCUGCACGCCACCACCAACCCCUGCGUGCUGUCGGGCGGCAACGUGCUCACGCUCAACCUGGCCGCCACGGACUCCUUUGCGCCCGGCGACACCGUGCGCAUCAAGAGCGGCAACACACGCCUGCUGAUGGACACGGCCGGCACCGCGCCCUACGUGCAGGGCACCGCUGUGCCCAUCACCCUGGGCGCCGUUACCUCGGCCGUGGCCACCAAGGACACGGAGAUUGUGGUGACGCUGCCCAUGACCGUCGCCCUGGUCAAGGCCGGCGCGGCUGUGACCCAGCUGGGCAAGACUGAUUGCCUGCUUGUCGUGACUCUGGCUGGCACCAUUGCUGACGUGGCCACCGCCUGCGUGCUCACCGGCGGCAACAAGCUCACCAUCACCACCACCGGCUCCUACACGCCCGGCACCACCACCGUGCAGUUCGGCAACACUGACGCCUCCGUCAAGCUGCUCACCGGCGCUGGCCUCACCGGCCCCGCCGUGGUGGCGCUUUCGAGUGUUCAGUCCGUCAAUCCCGGCUACAUCAGCUCGGCCGCCACCAGCACUGCCAGCCAGUUUGUCAUCACGCUGCCCCAGCAGAUUGGCGCCACCGGCACCAUUACGCAGGUGAACUGCGACGCCGCUCUGGAGGUGCUGCAGGCCAACGGCACCACCCGCGUGCUCAGCGGCGACUGCACACGCACCACCAGUGGUGGUGUCUCCACCAUUACUGUGCCGCUCACCACCAACAUUGCCAUCGGCGACACGGUGCGCAUUAAGGCUUCAUCUUCUGGCAUCACUACCGCCACUGGCAGCCUGCAGUACGCGGCCACCGCCGCCGUGCCGAUCCAGCCCGGCCACGUGAGCUACGCCGCCGCCAUCGCAACCGACAAGUUUGUUGUGACGCUGCCCUAUGCCAGCACCCUGGCCGCGGGCGCGGUGUGCUCGGACACCGUCAACGUCAAGAGUGACACUAACGCCAACGUGGAGACUGGCUGCACUCUGUCGCUGGAUUCCACCGGCAUCUACCUCACCGUGGACCUGGCCGACACCAACACCCUGGUGGCCAGUGAGUGCGGGGGGGCGGCGGCUGAGUGGCACACAGAACUCAGGGAUGGGUCCCACAGCUGCUCGCAUUCCGCUGCAUUGACGUUUACUGACCUGCCCUUCCCCAACCCGCUUUUGUUCCCGCCCGCAGCCUUCAAGGUGACCUUCAAGUCGGCCCAGACCGCCCUGACCGUGGGCACCACCAAGUGGGCGCCGCUCAGCGCGGGCGUGUACUCUCUGGACAGCGCCACCUGGGGCACCUCUGUGAUGAAGGUGGUGGCCGUGUCCUCCACCGUCAUCGAGGUCACGCUGCCCAUGGUCAGCUACCUGGGCGAGCUGAGCGCCACCGCCUGCGGCCAGGUCAUCACCGUCGCCGGCAACACCCUGGCCAGCUCGGGCACCGCCUGCAAGCUCAUCAGCACCCCCACCGGCACCAACAACAUCAUGCAGGUCACGCUGCAGUCUGCCUACGUGGCCGGCGGCCUGCAGCUCACCAACACCGGCGGCGCGCUCAAGGCCGGCAGCUCCACCGGCACAGCCUACGGCGCUGUGGCCGCCGUGACCAUCAAGCCCACCUUCGCGUCCGCCGUCGCCACCGGCCUGCGCACCGUCGUGGUGACGCUGCCCGCCACCAGCACGGUUUACAAGCUCACGCCCACCUGCACGGGCACCGGUGCUUCCGGCGCCUGCUCCACGGGCACCCCCACGUGCGCGUCUGGCUCCCCCGCCUGCUCUGACGGCACCGGCACCUACAGCUGCACGUCCUCGACACCUUCGACUUGCGCUGAUCCGACAACCAGUUGUGCCUUUGGCACCAAGACCUGCGCUCAGACGGAUGGGUCAUUCGAUGCAACUCAGCUCACGUGUACAACAGCUGUGGCGGGUUCUAUGAGUGCUGGGUGCGCAGCUGGAACCGCCGUGUGCUUCGACCAGGCCAGUACUACUGCAGCCCAGUGCGCUAGUACUGCUACCACGGACCUCAGUCCCGCUUGCACUGUCGCGAACGUCAAUACUCCAACAUGUGUGGGUGGCAGUGUGACUAGCGCUGAUGCGUGCCUCACGUAUGCCGGCUCGCCCAUCUCGCCCGUCUGCACUGGAGGUGCCUUCGCCUGUGCGGCUGCGGCCGGCCCGAUGUGCGUGCAGAGCGCCACGCCAGUGUGCCCCUCCACGUUCUCGUCCAGCUGCAGCAGUGGAUCACCUUCUUGCACUCAGACGGCUGGCUUGACUACUCCUGGCUGCACCAGCGGUGGCACCCUCACUUGCAGCAAGACGGCUACCUGCGACGCGGAAGCCGCCACGCCCACGUGCGCCCAGGUGUUUGCCACUUUCACCGGCGGCGCGUCCGUCACCACCUGCACCAACCCUAGCAGCGACUCCACCCAACCCAUCACCACCACGCUCACGCUGGGCGCUGACUGGGCCCUGGGCGACAAGCUCACGGUGAACGCGGCGCAGGCCACCACCACCGCCACUUCUUACCUCAAGGCCGGCACCGCCACCGGCCUGGUGUACACCUCCAAGCCCAGCGGCGACGUGGUCAUCUACCCCUCCAUCACCCUGGCCGUGCUCACCAGCAGCAAGACCAUCACCGUCACACUGCCUGUGGCCGCCUCCGUGCCCAGCACCGGCCUGAGCGCCGCCGACUGCAACAACAUCUUCACGCUGUACGCUGGCGCCACUGCCAAGUCGAAUGUCUUUGCCGGCUGCUCGCUCGCCGCGGACAAGGUGACCUUUACGCUGACGCUGGUGGCUGCUGCUUCGGCCACGGCCACCACCACCACCUACGCCGCGGGCGACUUCAUCAACAUCAAGUCCGGCCAGAGCCUGCUCAAGGCCGACUCGACCACCGCCGCCAACCGCCUGGCCUUCGCGCCGCAUCCCGACGGUCUGCCCGUCGUGGCCACGAUCGUGUCGGCCGUGGUCACCGCAGGCGUUGGCUCUGGCACGGGUAUUGUCCGCGUGCAGCUCCCCAUCGCCAGUGACCUGGCCAAGGCGGACUGCGACAACACGGACAUCGGUGUCCUCGACAAUGCGGGAACUGCCCAGGCCCUUGCCGGCACCGGCGGUUGCGCGCUGAGCACCGACAAGACCGUGCUGACCAUCACGCUGGCCGGCUCCGUCACCGCGUCUUGGUUCACCACCUCGCCCUACAUGCGUGUGCGCAUCCUGUCCCAGGCCACCCUGGGCCUCAAGGCCGGCAGCUCAUCCGGCUACGCCUACAUCACCACCGACACCAGCGUGCUCGCCACCGUGCGCGCAUUCGACGUGGCGUCGGCCACACCGCAGAGCAUCGUGUCGGCCACGGCUGUGGGCCCCACCCGGCUGGAGCUGGCGCUGCCCGCCGUCACCACCAUCAACCCCGCCAACGGCUGCCCCAGCUCCCUGACGCUGAGCCGCACCUUGUCCAACUGCAGCCUGGACGACACCGGCAAGCUGCUGACCGUCUUCACCACCGCCGCCUACCAGUCCGCGGACACGGUGCAGGUGGUGGCCAGCCAGGCGCUCAAGUACAUGGCGGGCGACACCGCCACCUCCUACCCCGCCCUGGGUUCGGCGCUGACCAUCGCGCCCGCCAUUGUGUCGGCGUACACCGUGGACGCCUCCACCAUCGCCGUGACGCUGCCGGUUGCCAGUAGCUUCUAUGUUACCACUACCCGCACUGCCACUCUUGACGCCGUGGACUGCGACAAGAUUAUCACCGUGCUCAAGGCCGGCGUGGUCAACGGCGCCGGCGCCAUUGCGUCAGCUGGCAACCGCCGCACUCUGCUCACCACCGGCGCGUGCACGCUGGGCACCGCCUCGGCGGGCGGCACGACCAUCACCGUCAAGCUGAGCGGCGCUAUCUAUGACGCCGGCGACGCUGUCGACAUCCCCGACACCAAUGCCGGCCUCAACGGCGCGACCGCCACGUCUAACCCGCUGUACGCUGACUCCAACUCUGGGCCCAAGUACGUGGCCCGCCGCAGCCCGGUGGUCAUUGAGCCGCGCCUGGUGUCUGCCUCCGCCGUGGGCGCCCAGUCGGUGGAGGUGGUCCUGCCCGCCGCCAGCGCCAUCAUCGACAGCAGCAACGCCGUGGUGGCCACGCCCAGCUCCUCGCAGUGCGCCGCCAUCGCCGUCGUCAGCGGCAAGACCGUCACCUCGUGCUCGCUGUCGACCGACGGCCUGACGCUGACGCUGGGCCUGAGCGCCACCUUCGCGCCCGGCGACACCGUCAACAUCGUGUCGGGCCAGACCAUGCUGCGCGUGUGGAAGGCCAGUGUGGGCGCCGGCUACGAGGCGUUCGGCCCCGUGUACACGCCCUCGGCCGCCGCGCUGGCCAUCACUAUUGGCUACUUCGUGUCUGCCUACGCGCCCGACACUCAGACUGUGGUCAUCACGCUGCCGUUCACUGCCAAGCUGUACGACUACGCGCCCGCCACUGGCGCCUCCACCGCUGAGAUCACGCGCACCGCCACCGCCCCCACCAAGGGCAACUGCGACUCCAUCGUGCGCAUCGCCUCCCGCACGCUGGCCUCCACGCCCGCCGCCCUGACCGACCCCACCUGCACGCUCAGCGGCACCACCCUGACCGUCAAGCUGGCCUCCACCACACUGUCCGCUGGUGACCAGGCGUUCUUCGGCUCGGGCACUGACGCAAUCCUGCGCGGCGUGGCCACCGGCACCGUGGGCCUGACCUCCACCACCUAUCUCACCACAGCUGCCACCACCGCCACCACCGGCGCCGUGACCAUCCAUCCUUCGGUCACCUCGGCCAUCGCGACGGACUCGACCACCAUCAAGGUCACGCUUCCCUUCAACGCCUGGAUUCACGCCUCCAUCACCUCCCUCAACGCCUCCGACUGCGGCAAC
rnacentral:lncRNA from 1 species